GGCACAUAGUAUUGUUCACCGACACACAAGUCGGGAAGGCAAUACCCCUCUCAAUCUUCUUCUUAACGUUCUUGUACAUAUUCCCAGAUUGCUCUCGGAUGAAAUUAUCGCCCUUCUCACAGAGAUCGACAAUCUUCACCUUCGGCUUGCACUCGGCGACGACGAGCUGCAGCGCCUUGUUGACGAUCUCGGCGGCGCUCUUGUACUUCGUGACGACAUCGGGGGAGGUGAGAUCGAGCUCCUUCUCCUCCUUCACUUCGUCGUCCGACAUCUCUGACCGACGGGGGAGAAAUUAGGGUUUUGCGGCGGGGGUUUGGGGAGGCGAGAGUGAA
rnacentral:misc_RNA from 1 species